GAUUGUUGCUCAGCAGUGUGUGUAUUUCUUGCCUCGACACCUGGGUGUUCUCAGUGCUAUCGUGUCUAUGAUACCUCGCUCCACCGAAAGGUAAAUGGUGUUGAGGAUUGUGCAAUCGGUCUUUUAUUUCCAUUUGAGGAUUUUUGGCAAGAUUACUUCCAACCGAUUUGCGGUUCGUCAAAUUUGAUUUGUGUUCAAAGAGUGGGUUUUGGUGGAUGAGUUAAAUUUUGAGUUAAAUUCGAAGUGAUAAAAUUUCCUAGAGACUGAAGGGGUUGCUGAUAGGUUUUCGAUUCGACCAAGAGGAGGAGCAAGGGGACGAGAGGAGCAUGAUUCUGGUGGUUUGAUGGCUGUUCUGCAUCUACCUGGAAAGGUUACUCCUGUUGUCUUUCAGUUUUGGAUAAUAGGAUUUUGAAUAGAGACAAGCAGAGAGGAUAUUUAGUUUUUGGGGUCUUUAUUAUACGCAUCUGAGUUUAUGUCAUUUAUACUUAACAGAACAAGAGAGAAAGAAAGAGGGUGAGGGAGGUGGGGAUUUUGAAUAAGGAUCCCGAGACCCUGAAGGAGCAGAUUGAUAAGUUGAAUAAGCAAAAUUUUAUUCGGAAUCUUAUUGAGAGGAAGCACUAAUUGACACUGUUAGUUUUCUCGGUGCUACUAACAAGCUAAGUUUUCUAAUUUCAUUGAUUUUGCUUCCACGUUUCAUUAAAUUUUUUAUGUUUUGGAUUGCUGCUUUUUGGUUUCUUGGUAAGUUUUCAAUUGCUUUUUAGUUAGUUGGUUGAAUUGUAGUCAGGCAGAGCAUCAAAGAUUUAUAUCUUUGUUUCAUUCAAAUUAUUUACUCAUAUAGUUUAUGAACUUUAUUUUCCGUUGUUUUGUUGCUGAGAAAGUGGAUUUACGAUUAGAAGGAAAAAAAAAAAAACUGUUACUUUUGUCGUCUGUGAUUAAUUGAGAGCCUUGAUUUCAAAACCUAUUGGUUAACAUUACUCAUCUGCCCUUCUUGAUUGCUUUUUUAAGAAGAAUAUAUUCUGAUGUUUUGCAAUUUAAUUUGAGCUUGGCUUUUGAAUUAUUUACUCAUAUAGUUUAUGAACUUUAUUUUCCGUUGUUUUGUUGCUGAGAAAGUGGAUUUACGAUUAGAAGGAAACAAAAAAAAAAAACUGUUACUUUUGUCGUCUGUGAUUAAUUGAGAGCCUUGAUUUCAAAACCUAUUGGUUAACAUUACUCAUCUGCCCUUCUUGAUUGCUUUUUUAAGAAGAAUAUGUUCUGAUGUUUUGCAAUUUAAUUUGAGCUUGGCUUUUGAAUACAGUUAUGGCACCUAAAGGAUGACAAGAAAAAUGAAGGCUCUAGAAAGUGAUCAUAGCUCAGCAAAUUUAUGUUGUGCUGCAAGUUAUAAUGAAAGCUUAUCAAGUAAGGGAGAUAUGGGAGAAAUGAAGAAGGAUCAGACUAUAGAUAUGGGAGCAACUAGAACAACUAUUUUAUGGAAAAUGUUCCAGCAGCAACUGUAACUAAGUUAACCUUAAACUUAGAUAGCCAAUUUCUUGAACGCUAUAAUGGAAAAUGCUGCCAGUUGCUAUCCAUAUUGGAAACUUUAAAAAGAUCUCAAAGCUAGGGCAUGAUCUAAUUCAUCGUUUGUUUUAGAUGUUCUGCAGUGAUGAUAUUGAAAACAGUUCUGUCUUUUAUAUUCUCUCCUUAAGUUUAGGCAGUAGGAAAAUGCACUAUGGAGUGGAGAGAAGCUUUCAGUUCAGAGACAAUGUUGGUGAAACUCAAGUACAUUUCAUGGUCGCGAUUCACAACCCACAGCAAAGUGUGG